GUCGGGAGUUAGGAAAUGCAGGUUGGUUAAUACCCAACCUGUUUGACAAAGGCCCCAAAGGAAGCCACGGCUAACUCUGUGCCAGCAGCCGCGGUAAUACAGAGGUGGCAAGCGUUGUUCGGUAUUAUUGGGCGUAAAGAGCACGUAGGUGGUUUUGUAAGUCAGAUGUGAGAGCCUUCUGUUCAAAGGAAGAACGGCAUCUGAAACUGCAGAUCUUGAGUGUAGGAGGGGAGAGUGGAA
rnacentral:rRNA from 1 species